rnacentral:sRNA from 1 species
CCUUCACCUGCCGCUGUCCGCCCGGCUUCACCCAGCGCCACCAGGCCUGCUUCGAUGUUAAUGAAUGUGAUGGGCCCCACCGCUGCCAGCACGGCUGUCAGAACCAGCUAGGGGGCUACCGCUGCGGCUGCCCCCAGGGUUUCACCCAGCACUCCCAGUGGGCCCAGUGUGUGGGUGAGUGGAAAGGGCUGGGAAGAAGUUGGGCCCUCCACCAGAAUCUGCUCAGAGCAGGCGACUAACAGACACCACCCUGCAAGAUGUUGUGACAAGCACAAUUAUCUAAAGAUUGAACAGGCCAGCCCAGAAGGUAGUGAGUUCCCCACUGCUGGGGAGUCAAGGUGCAGCAGAAUAAGCAUGGAAAAGUGUCUGAGUUCAUUCCUUAGGGCAUGGUGGCCUGGAGGACUCAGUUGAGAAAGAUUCUGAGACCUAAAGUCUGCAAUUCUGUGAUCACAGGGAAAGAGUGCUGUGAUUGAUUAGUG